rnacentral:rRNA from 1 species
GAUGAACGCUGGCGGCGUGCUUAACACAUGCAAGUCGAACGGAAAGGCCCAAGCUUGCUUGGGUACUCGAGUGGCGAACGGGUGAGUAACACGUGGGUGAUCUGCCCUGCACUUCGGGAUAAGCCUGGGAAACUGGGUCUAAUACCGGAUAGGACCACAUUUUGGAUGGUGUGGUGGAAAGUUUUUCGGUGUGGGAUGAGCUCGCGGCCUAUCAGCUUGUUGGUGGGGUAAUGGCCUACCAAGGCGUCGACGGGUAGCCGGCCUGAGAGGGUGUACGGCCACAUUGGGACUGAGAUACGGCCCAGACUCCUACGGGAGGCAGCAGUGGGGAAUAUUGCACAAUGGGCGAAAGCCUGAUGCAGCGACGCCGCGUGGGGGAUGACGGCCUUCGGGUUGUAAACUCCUUUCGCUAGGGACGAAGCGUUUUUGUGACGGUACCUGGAGAAGAAGCACCGGCUAACUACGUG